ACGGGUGAGUAACACGUAUCCAACCUGCCGUCUACUCUUGGACAGCCUUCUGAAGGAAGAUUAAUACAAGAUGGCAUCAUGAGUCCACAUGUUCACAUGAUUAAAGGUAUUCCGGUAGACGAUGGGGAUGCGUUCCAUUAGAUAGUAGGCGGGGUAACGGCCCACCUAGUCUUCGAUGGAUAGGGGUUCUGAGAGGAAGGUCCCCCACAUUGGGACUGAGACACGGUCCAA
rnacentral:rRNA from 1 species